rnacentral:rRNA from 1 species
AUUGAACGCUGGCGGCAUGCUUUACACAUGCAAGUCGAACGGUAACAGGCCUUCGGGCGCUGACGAGUGGCGAACGGGUGAGUAAUGCAUCGGAACGUGCCCAGUCGUGGGGGAUAACGCAGCGAAAGCUGUGCUAAUACCGCAUACGAUCUAUGGAUGAAAGCGGGGGACCGUAAGGCCUCGCGCGAUUGGAGCGGCCGAUGUCAGAUUAGGUAGUUGGUGGGGUAAAGGCUCACCAAGCCAACGAUCUGUAGCUGGUCUGAGAGGACGACCAGCCACACUGGGACUGAGACACGGCCCAGACUCCUACGGGAGGCAGCAGUGGGGAAUUUUGGACAAUGGGCGCAAGCCUGAUCCAGCAAUGCCGCGUGCAGGAAGAAGGCCUUCGGGUUGUAAACUGCUUUUGUACGGAACGAAAAGGUCUGGGUUAAUACCCUGGGCUCAUGACGGUACCGUAAGAAUAAGCACCGGCUAACUACGUGCCAGCAGCCGCGGUAAAAC